UACGAAGGGGGCUAGCGUUGUUCGGAAUCACUGGGCGUAAAGGGUGCGUAGGCGGGUCUUUUAGUCAGGGGUGAAAUCCUGGAGCUCAACUCCAGAACUGCCUUUGAUACUGAGGAUCUUGAGUUCGGGAGAGGUGAGUGGAACUGCGAGUGUAGAGGUGAAAUUCGUAGAUAUUCGCAAGAACACCAGUGGCGAAGGCGGCUCACUGGCCCGAUACUGACGCUGAGGCACGAAAGCGUGGGGAGCAAACAGG
rnacentral:rRNA from 1 species